AUUGAACGCUGGCGGCAUGCUUUACACAUGCAAGUCGAACGGUAACAGGUUAAGCUGACGAGUGGCGAACGGGUGAGUAAUGCAUCGGAACGUGCCCGAUCGUGGGGGAUAACGCAGCGAAAGCUGCGCUAAUACCGCAUACGAUCUAUGGAUGAAAGCGGGGGACCGUAAGGCCUCGCGCGAUUGGAGCGGCCGAUGUCAGAUUAGGUAGUUGGUGGGGUAAAGGCUCACCAAGCCAACGAUCUGUAGCUGGUCUGAGAGGACGACCAGCCACACUGGGACUGAGACACGGCCCAGACUCCUACGGGAGGCAGCAGUGGGGAAUUUUGGACAAUGGGGGCAACCCUGAUCCAGCAAUGCCGCGUGCAGGAAGAAGGCCUUCGGGUUGUAAACUGCUUUUGUACGGAACGAAACGGUCUGGGUUAAUACCCUGGGCUAAUGACGGUACCGUAAGAAUAAGCACCGGCUAACUACGUGCCAGCCGCCGCGGUAAAAC
rnacentral:rRNA from 1 species